rnacentral:rRNA from 1 species
GGUUUGAACAUGGCUCAGGAUGAACGCUGGCGGCGUGCUUAACACAUGCAAGUCGAACGAUGAACCUCACUUGUGGGGGGAUUAGUGGCGAACGGGUGAGUAACACGUGAGUAACCUGCCCUUAACUCUGGGAUAAGCCUGGGAAACUGGGUCUAAUACCGGAUAUGACUCCUCAUCGCAUGGUGGGGGGUGGAAAGCUUUUUGUGGUUUUGGAUGGACUCGCGGCCUAUCAGCUUGUUGGUGAGGUAAUGGCUCACCAAGGCGACGACGGGUAGCCGGCCUGAGAGGGUGACCGGCCACACUGGGACUGAGACACGGCCCAGACUCCUACGGGAGGCAGCAGUGGGGAAUAUUGCACAAUGGGCGCAAGCCUGAUGCAGCGACGCCGCGUGAGGGAUGACGGCCUUCGGGUUGUAAACCUCUUUCAGUAGGGAAGAAGCCGUAAGGUGACGGUACCUGCAGAAGAAGCGCCGGCUAACUACGUGCCAGCAGCCGCGGUAAUACGUAGGGCGCAAGCGUUAUCCGGAAUUAUUGGGCGUAAAGAGCUCGUAGGCGGUUUGUCGCGUCUGCCGUGAAAGUCCGGGGCUCAACUCCGGAUCUGCGGUGGGUACGGGCAGACUAGAGUGAUGUAGGGGAGACUGGAAUUCCUGGUGUAGCGGUGAAAUGCGCAGAUAUCAGGAGGAACACCGAUGGCGAAGGCAGGUCUCUGGGCAUAAC